rnacentral:rRNA from 1 species
AAUAGAUACCCGGGUAGUCCACGCCGUAAACGAUGGAUGCUAGCUGUUAUGAGUAUCGACCCUUGUAGUAGCGAAGCUAACGCGUUAAGCAUCCCGCCUGUGGAGUACGAGCGCAAGCUUAAAACAUAAAGGAAUUGACGGGGACCCGCACAAGCGGUGGAGCGUGUUGUUUAAUUCGAUGAUAAGCGAAGAACCUUACCAAGGCUUGACAUCCCUGGAAUUUCUCCGAAAGGAGAGAGUGCCUUCGGGAAUCAGGUGACAGGUGAUGCAUGGCCGUCGUCAGCUCGUGUCGUGAGAUGUUUGGUUAAGUCCAUCAACGAGCGCAACCCUUGUAAAUAGUUGAAUUUUUCUAUUUAGACUGCCUCGGUAACGGGGAGGAAGGAGGGGAUGAUGUCAGGUCAGUAUUUCCCUUACGCCUUGGGCUACAAACACGCUACAAUGGCCGGUACAAAGGGCAGCCAACCCGCGAGGGGGAGCAAAUCCCAUCAAAACCGGUCUCAGUUCGGAUAGCAGGCUGAAAUUCGCCUGCUUGAAGCCGGAAUCGC